CACGUAGGGCGCAAGCGUUGUCCGGAAUUAUUGGGCGUAAAGCGCACGUAGGCGGUAUUGCAAGUCGGAUGUGAAAUCCCUCGGCUUAACCAAGGAAGUGCAUCCGAAACUGCUGUACUUGAGUACGAAAGAGGAUCGCGGAAUUCCCGGUGUAGAGGUGAAAUUCGUAGAUAUCGGGAGGAACACCAGUGGCGAAGGCGGCGAUCUGGGUCGAUACUGACGCUGAGGUGCGAAAGCGUGGGGAGCAAACAGG
rnacentral:rRNA from 1 species